rnacentral:misc_RNA from 1 species
GAAAUGCGAUACGUAAUGUGAAUUGCAGGAUUCAGUGAAUCAUCAAAACCUUGAACACACAUGGCGCUCCGCGGCUUUCGGGUCGAGGAGCAUAUCUGUUUGAGUGUCACUUACCCUUCUCUCACCUUAUCCGUGAGGAGUGUGGCUCUUGGACUCGCGAGAGUCCAUGGGCUCCAGUGCGAUGUGGCGACGGCUAGCACGCCCGCCCGCACCUCUGGCAUAGUAGUCGCGCAAGCGAAUCUAUACUGAGCCUACGACGCGCGUGACGGAUCACGUGUGCUGGCAUACUGUUGCUGCGCAUAAUAACAUAUAAAAUCUUGCGGUGAUCUGUGCACGUUUAGACAUGCUAGGGUCACCCAACCUUUGACCUCAAACCAGGUAAGACUACCCGCUGAAUUAAA